rnacentral:rRNA from 1 species
AUNNCCCCCCACACUGGUACUGAGACACGGACCAGACUCCUACGGGAGGCAGCAGUGAGGAAUAUUGCGCAAUGGAGGAAACUCUGACGCAGCCAUGCCGCGUGCAGGAUGAAUGCCCUAUGGGUUGUAAACUGCUUUUCUGCAAGAAGAAACCUUAGUACGUGUACUAAGCUGACGGUAUGCAGGAAUAAG